AUACUUUAGCCAUGUUAGACAAUUCCGUAAUCUUAUUUAAGGAAAUAAUAAAACACAUUAAUAAUGUAUUUAUUGUGGUUUAAUAAAAAGCUUAUUAUAUAUUUAGAUGAACCAACAUGUUUUUCUAAGGAUUCUAAAAAUCAUUCUAGUGAUGACAUGUGCCUACAAAAAAUGUUGCAAUGCUUCUCAAAUAAUAUAUAGGGGAUUAAUCGAUCAUUUGGUAUGUAUCGAAUUUUGAAAAGAAGAAAUAUUUUUUUAGUUCUUAUAUGGUAGAUUUCGAAUUUCCCCAAUGAACUAAAUUAUAUAAUGAAUGUUACACACUCUAUCUAGGAAAACAUAAAAUUAUUUUUCCUAACUGUAUCAUUCCAUCUACUGCCUUAUUCAAUAAAAAUCCACAUAUUCUUAGCAUUUUGAAUAUGUAAUUAUAUUUCUGUUCACUAUAGAACUCUUUUUGAGGAUGAAAACCGAUUUUGGUAUUUAAUAUAGCAAAUUUUAUUUUUGUAGCUAGUGAACAUGUCAAGACACGAACAAGUUUAUUCAACAACACCAGUUCAAUAUUUAUAGAUACUUUUUAGCGGCAAGAAGACUGAGUGUAUGGGGAACUGAAACGAGGAACAAAAACACAAAACAAGUAUUUGUAUUCAUAAUGAAACAAAAGUACACGCAACAUAGGCAUAAACUUGGGGCAAAGCAGUGAUAAGUUUUGCCCUUUGAUGUUUUAUUGGGAAGCAAAAGAAGUUUGAGCAUAAACAAACAGACAUGUCACCGACUGAAAACAAAUGUUACACAUGGUGAUUGCAUGAGGUUAUUUCAAGGAUCAACAAUAGCAAUGACAGUGUUUCUCACUUCCCUCAACAACGCCACUAACGACAGGAGGACUCCCGUAUUUGGUUUUGCAACAGUUAAAGCAAUCAGCAUUUGUACCUAGGAACGGCACCGGUCCGCACUCGAAGCAAAAUGUUUGAGCCUCGCUCUUGAGGAUUUCUGCAUGUUGACAUAAUCAUCAGCGUAAGAAUACUGAAAUACAACUACAAAAUACGAUAGAUAAUUUUUUUCUUAAAAUUACCGGUGGAAGCCACCAAGAGGACGAACAAAAGAACGGUGAUGCUGACUGAGUUGAUGUUAUUUGCCAUUUCUUUCGGUUUUGCCUUGCUUUUUCUUAAACCUGGUGUUUUCUUUUUCUUGUCAAUAAACUUAUUGUUGGUGAGAAAUAUCAUAUGUGUUGUUAUCUAUUUAUAGUCAAUAUUUUGAAAUUUUGCCAUCAUUGUAUAAUCAGUCCUCGUUUCUUGCUGGUUUGCCGAAGCUCAUAGUGUCGCCACAAUUGGUUCACUGCCUUAUUUUCCAUUACAUAUUAUCUUACAAGUCUAUCUAUUUUUUAAUGAUGCCUCCUUUUUGAAAUAAUCAGCAAAAGAAAGGUCCUCGCUGUCUUUGUAGUGCAUACUCAUUUUAUAUGUUCAUUGUUUCUUUAGGUUUAGCAAAAUAAUGAUUAAAAGUGAUAUUGUUUUUGUCAUCGGUAGACUCAGCAAGAAUCUUUAGGACUUUUUAAUCAGGUAAUGAAAAAAAUCUGGCUUCGUUAUUCAUUUAUAAAUAAAGGCUUAUAAGACAUUGCACCAAUCAUGGCAACACUAUGUUGGUACUUUUGAGCAUCUUCAUUUCAUAUGCAUUAAUUUAAUUUUUUUUCUCAUCUUCUAGGGCUUUGUUUUCUCAUGAGCUAAAUAUCUCUGGAUAGACUUUCACAUUUUCUGUUAAUAUAAUAGUUAUCCCCUAUAAACCAGUUAAUUUCUUGGGUUUACAAACUAAAAUUCGAGUGAAAAACCGGUAUCAAUCUAGUAAAAUCGGGAUUAAACCAAUUGAAAAGAAUCCCUAGAUCUACACAUAAAGAGAAGUCGUCUUCUAACGACCAACCGCCUAGAAAGGUGGUUAAGCCCAGCAUCCCAGACAAGCUACACCACCUCAGUAGAAACCCCAUAAGACGUCAGAAGAACAACCGAAUAAGUCACAUGGCAAAAUCACCUACACUUUUGACAUGCCAGAACUAGCCCUCUUCCACAUAAAACACUAGAUCUGAUAGUGUCUCAUUUCCUUCGGCGUCCCAAAACCGAAUAUAAGCCAGAAAAGCAACGAGAUGGGAGAUCUGACAUAACCAGGACCGGCAGCUACUAUGUCGUACGGCUUCGGUAAUUCCAAACCACUAAAAAAAAAUUGGGCCUCUGAAAGAUAACUAAUCAAAAUGAGAAAACCAGUGAAGCUCCAGCAAAAAGAACAAAGAAUUAAAAAGUACAAUCCAUCUCCGCCAUCAACUCACGCACCGGCAUUAGAGAGGCAAAUGACGAUUUUAAGAGAGAGAGGGCCUAGAGAGAGAUAGAAGGGUUUGGCAACUUUUGUUUUUAUCAGUAAUAGCCUCUAAUGUUUAUUUUUACUUAUAAGGCUCGGUUUGACGAGUUUUAUUGAAAAAACUAUAUUUUCAUACAAUUUUGCAACUUAUGCUCCAUAUUAAUUUUAAAAGAAUAUAUACAGUUUUGAUAUAUUAGAUGGUAAAGAUUCAAUGUUUUUCUAGGAAUAUAGGAAAUAUGUAACCUAUAUUUCUCUUUUUAUCAGUAGGUUUUAGUAUUUAUAUAUACUGUUUUUGAUAAUCGAGGGUACCGGGUGAAAAUCAAACUGACUAAUUCUUUGGUUUGAUGUUCAUCUCUAAAAAUGAUGGAGAACAUGCACUUAAUUAUUCUUAUUUUAUCGUAAGAAUUAGUGGUGAUUUCUACUCGUAAUUCUUUUUUUGAUUGACCUAAUUCAAAAAAAAGUUUUUUUGCAUUUAUUAAUAUAUUAAUCGAACAUUUGGUAUGUAGUUAAUUUUGUAAAGAAGAAACACUCUUUUUAGUUCUUAUAUGGUAGAUUUCGAAUUUCCCCAAUGAACUAAAUUAUAUAAUGAAUGUUACACUUUCUAUCUUGAAAAAGAUAAAAUUAUUUUUCCUAACUGUAUCAUUCCAUGUACUGCCUUAUUCAAUAAAAAUCCACAUAUUCUUAGCAUUUUUGAAAAUAUAAUUCUCUUUCUGUUCACUAUUGUACUCUUUUUGAGGAUGAAUACAGAUUUUGGUAUUAUGUAUAGAAAAUUUUAUUUUCUAGCUAGUGAACAUGUCAAGACAGAAACAAAUUUAUACAACAAGACCAAUCCAAUAUUUGUAGAUACUUUUAGCGACAAGAAGACUGAGUAUAUGGGGAACUGAAACGAGGAACACAAACAAAAACCAAGUUUUUGUAUUCAUAAUGAAACAAAAGUACACGCAACAUAGGCAUAAACUUGGGGCAAAGCAGUGAUAAGUUUUGCCCUUUGAUGUUUUAUUGGGAAGCGAAAGAAGUUUGAGCAUAAACAAACAGACAUGUCACGGACUGAAAACAAAUAUUACACAUGGUGAUUGCAUGAGGUUAUUUCAAGGAUCAACAAUAGCAAUGACAGUGUUUCUCACUUCCCUCAACAACGCCACUAACGACUGGAGGACUCCCGUAUUUGGUUUUGCAACAGUUAAAGCAAUCAGCAUUUGUACCUAGAAACGGCACCGGUCCGCACUCGAAGCAAAAUGUUUGAGCCUCGCUCUUGAGGAUUUCUGCAUGUUGACAUAUUCAUCAGUGUCAGAAAACUAAAAUACAACUACAAAAUGCGAUAGAUAAUUUUUUUCUUAAAAUUACCGGUGGAAGCCACCAAGAGAACGAACAAGAGAACGGUGAUGCUGACUGAGUUGAUGUUCUUUGCCAUUUCUUUCGGUUUUGCCUUGUUUUUUCUUAAACCUGGUGUUUUCUUUUUCUUGUCAAUAAACUUAUCGUUGGUGAGACAUAUCAUAUGUGUUGUUAUCUAUUUAUAGUCAAUAUUCUGAAACUUUGUCAUCAUUGUAUAAUCAGUCCUCGUUUCUUUCUGGUUUGCCCAAGCUCAUAGUGUCGCCAGAAUUGUUCACUGCCUUAUUUUCCAUUACAUAUUAUCUUACAAGUCUAUCUAUUUUUUAAUGAUGCCUCCGUUUUGAAAUAAUCAGCAAAAGAAAGGUCCUCGCUGUCUUUGUAGUGCAUUCUCAUUUUAUAUGUUCAUUGUUUCUUUAGGUUUAGCAAAAUAAUGAUUAAAAGUGAUAUUGUUUUUGUCAUCGGUAGACUCAGCAAGAAUCUUUAGUACUUUUUAAUCAGGUAAUGAAAAAAAUCUGGCUUCGUUAUUCAUUUAUAAAUAAAGGCUUAUAAGACAUUGCACCAAUCAUGGCAACACUAUGUUGGUACUUUUGAGCAUCUUCAUUUCAUAUGCAUUAAUUUAAUUUUUUUUUCUCAUCUUCUAGGGCUUUGUUUUCUCAUGAGCUAAAUAUCUCUGGAUAGACUUUCACAUUUUCUGUUAAUAUAAUAGUUAUCCCCUUUAAACCAGUUAAUUUCUUGGUUUAACAAACUAAAAUUCGAGUGAAAAACCGGUAUCAAUCUAGUAAAAACGGGAUUAAACCAAUUGAAAAGAAUCCCUAGAUCUACACAUAAAGAGAAGUCGUCUUCUAACGAUCAACCGCCUACAAAGGUGGUUAAGCCCAGCAUCCCAGACAAGCUACACCACCUCAGCAGAAACCCCGUAAGACUUCAAAAGAGCAACCGAAUAAGUCACAUGGCAAAAUCACUUACACUUUUGACAUGCCAGAACUAGCCCUCUUCCACAUAAAACACUAGAUCUGAUAGUGUCUCAUCUCCUCCGGCGUCCCGAAACCGAAUAUAAGCCAGAAAAGCAACGAGAUGGGAGAUCUGACAUAACCAGGACCGGCAGCUACUAUGUCGUACGGCUUCGGUUCUUCCAAACCACUAAACAAAAAUUGGCCUCAGAAAGAUAACUAAUCAAACAUGAGAAAACCAGUGAAGCUCCAGAAAAAUGAACAAAGAAUUAAAAAGUACAAUCCAUCUCCGCCAUCAAGUCACGCACCGGCAUUAGAGAGGCAAAUGACGAUUUGAAGAGAGAGAGGGCCUAGAGAGACAUGGAAGGGUUUGGGAACUUUUGUUUUUAUCAGUAAUAGCCUCUAAUGUUUAUUUCUACUUAUAUGGCUCAGUAUGACGAGUUUUAAUGAAAAACUAUAUUUUCAUACAAUUUUGAAUUUAUGCUAUGUUUUGGAUUUGCAUAUGAUUUUUUAAAAAACAUAUACAGUUUUGACGUGGGGAGAGCAACCGAAUAAAUCACAUGGAAAAAUUACCGACACUUUUGAGAUGCCAGACCUAUCCCUCUUCCACAUAAAACUCUAGACCUGAUGGUGUUUCAUCUCCUCUGACGUCCCGAAACCGAAUAUUAGCCAGAAAAGCAACGAGAUAGGAGAUCUAACAUAAUAAGGAUCGGCAUCUACUAUGUCGUAUGGCUUCGGUUCUUCCAAACCACUAAAAAUAAAAAUAAACUGGGCCUCUGAAACAUAACUAAUCAAACAAGAGAAAACCAGUGAAGCUCCAGAAAAAAGAACAAAUAAUAAAUAAAAAAAAGGAGAAACCAUUUCCACCAUUGACUCACGCACUAGGAGUAGAGAGGCAAAUGACGAUUUGAAGAGAGAGAGAGCCUAGAGAGAGAUGGAAGGGUUUGGCGACUUUCUUUUUAUCAGUAAUAGCCUCCAAUGUUUAUUUCUACGUAUAAGGCUCAGUUUGACGAGGUUUAUUGAAAAAACUAUCUUUAUAUAUAAAGAAGGGUUUCAAUCCCUCCUGGUAAUGCCAACAAGGAUGACACGUCAGAAAUAGGAAGCCUCCUGCGUUGACACGUCAGAUACACUCCGUAUCACUUAAAGCUUUGUUCUGUCGGAACGAGCUUCACGUUGGUUUUGUCACGUACAUAAUUAACAUAUGAAUCUAUAAUUAUUAUUGUUUCCGUUUGGGCUUUCAUAUAUAUUCGUUGUUAUUAUUUAGCUUCAUAGAGCCAAUGUAUAAAGAGUAAGUCAUCUACUCAAAACGCUAUGUUUUUGAUUCUAUGGUUUUAUCCUGUCUUUUUUCUCAGCCGCUGCGAUACCAUACCCUACUCUAGGGUUUCGAUCGAGAUGUUUCAUCUUCUUCCUAUGGAUUCAGCAAUCUACCAGUUACAGAUUCAUCAUCUUAAAGUCCUUAUUAUAUCCAUCAUCCAUGAUCUACUUUGAAUGCGAGAUUCGCUCAUGCAAGGCGGUGUAUCUACGGGUAUAAAAAGGUAUGCUUCACUCAUCUCAAAACCAUCUUUCCAACAAGACUCCGGUAGGAAACGAACCGGAAAGAACUCAAACAGCAGCGCUUCUGCGGUUUCCUCAGGUGUGAAGCUAGCUCAGGAUCAUCACGGGGCAAAAAGAACCCUAUUCAGAUGCUAUUUAAGAAGGCUAAUCUAGCAAUAUAAAGAGAAGAGAAAAUCGCUAUUAUAAGUUCCAACGGGUGCAGAAAGAGUAUAUUACUGAAGCUAAUUAUUAGUUUAGAGAAAGCAAUGAAAGGUGAAGUUGUUCUUGGAGAGCACAAUGUAGUGCCAAACUACUUUGAACAGUUUCAGCUUAGGUGGAGUCAACCAAAAUCGUCCCGGAAGUGGCUCCAAGUAUGGUGGUGUCCAGUAACUUAAGAGCGUAACACUUACUGAUCUAAACGUAUACAUUCUCAACAAUCCUCUGCAGUCAGGCGAAGUUUCUUUGCUCUAGGAAAGUUGAGGCCAUCGAAACUUGCAAUGGGUGCUGCUAUGUUUCGUGUUCCCAAAUGUUCAAAAAAAAAACUGCAGUGUGGACUAUCAUCCUUCAGCCGCACGAUAUGUAUUGCCAUAGCUGCAAUCGGUGCCGCCACGUGAUACUCCGCCUCUUUGAAAGACUACUCAUGGAGCUUGGGUUUAGAAUAGCUGUGUUUGUUGUUUUCGACUCAGCAUCUAACUUGCGAUGGUUGUCUCAGAUAAGACAGAAACAGCUGUAUUGCUUUCGACUCAACAAUGACAUCUAACAAAUGUUUGUGCCACAGAGUUGACACUGAAAUGGGACAAGGUGGAUGAGGGUGGGAGCAGUGUCGCAGAACCCAUACGGGCGUUACCAGAUCCUACGCCUAUGAAGCCAAAGAGCAUUUACGAUUUUGAGUAAAACUCAUAAUAAUGUGCCCUCUAAUCUCAAGCAGCUCAAUUGUCAUCUACUAUCUUUUAAUAGAUUCUGCUUCCAGUUUAUUAAUUGUAAGGCCUUUUAAAUCUUCAUCCUAUACAAUUAUUUGGGUUUUUAUUACAAAUAAAAACUUCCACAUCUAAAUAUGUUAAUAAUAAUAACAAGACAGAUUCAAUCUCCUUAUUAACUCUUCUGAUAAGUGAAAAACUACCAAAAAGCUAAUACAUUGCCAGUAUAGCUUCGAACACCCAUGAAGAAGUGUAACGGUUAAGCGGUACAAUCACAGGUCUGCCUUCGACACAUGGUUACAACACGGGUUAAGUACAUUAAUAUGCCAAAAGCUUUAAAUCUCUCCUACUUUCAGUGCAGUUACAGAAAUAAUGUGACCAUACAUUUUUAAACUAUGAAAAUACACGAAACAAAAGUAUUUUAUAAAUAACAUG